UACGAAGGGGGCUAGCGUUGUUCGGAAUCACUGGGCGUAAAGGGCGCGUAGGCGGCUUUGUAAGUCGGGGGUGAAAGCCUGUGGCUCAACCACAGAAUUGCCUUCGAUACUGCAUGGCUUGAGACCGGAAGAGGUAAGUGGAACUGCGAGUGUAGAGGUGAAAUUCGUAGAUAUUCGCAAGAACACCAGUGGCGAAGGCGGCUUACUGGACCAGUACCGACGUCAGGCACGAAAGCGUGGGGAGCGAACAGG
rnacentral:rRNA from 1 species